GGGCCCGCACAAGCGGUGGAGCAUGUGGUUUAAUUCGACGCAACGCGAAGAACCUUACCAGGGCUUGACAUCCUUUGAAUCCCGAUGAAAGUUGGGAGUGUCCCUUCGGGGAAGCAAAGAGACAGGUGGUGCAUGGUUGUCGUCAGCUCGUGUCGUGAGAUGUUGGGUUAAGUCCCGCAACGAGCGCAACCCCUACGGUUAGUUGCUAACGUAAAGACGAGCACUCUAGCAGAACUGCCGGUGACAAACCGGAGGAAGGUGGGGAUGACGUCAAAUCAUCAUGCCCUUUAUGUCCUGGGCUACACACGUGCUACAAUGGCUGGUACAAAGGGCGGCAAAACCGCGAGGUAGAGCGAAUCCCAAAAAGCCAGUCUCAGUUCGGAUUGCAGGCUGCAACUCGCCUGCAUGAAGUCGGAAUCGCUAGUAAUCGCAGGUCAGCAUACUGCGGUGAAUACGUUCCCGGGCCUU
rnacentral:rRNA from 1 species